rnacentral:misc_RNA from 1 species
UUUCCGUAGGUGAACCUGCGGAAGGAUCAUUACCGAGUGAGGGCCCUCUGGGUCCAACCUCCCACCCGUGUUUAUUUACCUUGUUGCUUCGGCGAGCCUGCCUUUUGGCUGCCGGGGGACGUCAGUCCCCGGGUCCGUGCUCGCCGGAGACCCCUUAGAACUCUGUCUGAAGAUUGUAGUCUGAGAUUGAAUAUAAAUUAUUUAAAACUUUCAACAACGGAUCUCUUGGUUCCG